rnacentral:snoRNA from 1 species
UACCAAAACUCUUUGUCAGGGUGUUUCCUCGUACACUACCAUGUACACUUUUCACCUACGGAAAUGCCUGUUACAGUUUUGGAAGAACAAUACUACCCGCUCUCAAUCUUUCCAUCGUUUUGAUGGAGCUUUGAUUGAAUAGUUGAACAAUCUUCGUUUUGAAGAUAUAUCAGCGCCUCUUUAGGGUAGUGAGGAUUUUAAGAGUUGAGCCAUGGAUCUGAAAAGAAUUAUUAUGCCGUGGCUCGUAGUAAAAAACCUCACAACU